rnacentral:snRNA from 1 species
GUGCUUGCUUCCGCAGCACAUACACUAAAAUUGGAAUGAUAAAGAGAAGAUCAGCAUGGCCCCUACAGAAGGAUGACAUGCAAACUCGUGAAGCGUUCCAUAUUUUU